AAUAGAUACCCGGGUAGUCCACGCCGUAAACGAUGAGUGCUAAGUGUUAGAGGGUUUCCGCCCUUUAGUGCUGCAGCAAACGCAUUAAGCACUCCGCCUGGGGAGUACGGCCGCAAGGCUGAAACUCAAAGGAAUUGACGGGGGCCCGCACAAGCGGUGGAGCAUGUGGUUUAAUUCGAAGCAGCGCGAAGAACCUUACCAGGUCUUGACAUCCUCUGCCACUCCUAGAGAUAGGACGUUCCCCUUCGGGGGACAGAGUGACAGGUGGUGCAUGGUUGUCGUCAGCUCGUGUCGUGAGAUGUUGGGUUAAGUCCCGCAACGAGCGCAACCCUUGAUCUUAGUUGCCAGCAUUCAGUUGGGCACUCUAAGGUGACUGCCGGUGACAAACCGGAGGAAGGUGGGGAUGACGUCAAAUCAUCAUGCCCCUUAUGACCUGGGCUACACACGUGCUACAAUGGAUGGUACAAAGGGUCGCAAAACCGCGAGGUCGAGCCAAUCCCACAAAACCAUUCUCAGUUCGGAUUGCAGG
rnacentral:rRNA from 1 species